UGUUGCAGGCUUAACAGCUUGUUACAUUCAUGGCGUGUUGCCAUCAAAAGUGUAAUCAAUCCAUUAUCUACUGAUUUCAUUGUCUAUUAGCUCAAUUCACAAGUUUAACCUUGAUCUUUAGUUUUCAUGUAAAAUCAAAAAAAUAGUGAAAUUGUAAACUCUUAAUUACAUGAUUCUGGCUGUUUUCAAUGAUUGGUGAUGGUGAAAAGGAACAGAUAAAGGACCUAUUGAACCAUAAACAAUAAGGUCAAUAAAGUCAAUCAUGGAGGUUUACCAAGAAUUAAGUGAUCCACAACAUGCAAAGGUCUCAUCAGCUCUGCCAAUCCCUCUACAGAUAAUACACAAUGUAUAACCAAUAUCUCUCGGCCUACACUACCUAUCAAUCAAAAUGUGGAGGUGUUCAAGUGUCCUUUAUUACCAUCAUUCAAAUAAUUAACCUCUCAGUUAAAAAAAUACCUUGGUUUUACAUGUUAUUAAUGAAAGUUGGAGAUUGACAAGUGAAAUCAAUUAGCAAUGAGAUGAACACAAUUAAAGGGAAAAUAAUGAUGCUCCAUUUUUACAUAAUGUAUAACAAAAGACAUUUUCCCUGUGGAAAUCAACGUUUUUACAUCUGAUAAAACAUUUACCAACAUGAAGAAGCGAAAAAUUUCACCCUAUUUUCUAACCUUCUUCUCCUGGAUUUUCAUCUCUGGUUUCUCUUUCCAAUUCAACUAAAUUGUUUCUCAUCAUCGUCAUCUUCAUCACCCUGAUCAUCCCCACAAUAAUCAUCAUUCCUUCCUCAUCAUCUUCAUCUAUUUCAGUUAUUUAUGCAUAUAUGUACAGCUCUUUGUUAUGAUAAAUUGAAAGCUGCGCGCAAUCAGUUGUGCCAAUCGAUAAAGCCUUUGAGGUUCCCCAAAAGUGCUUAUAAUAGUGUGUAACCUUAAUUAGGCUUUAAAUGAUCCUCACAAAUUCCUCUCAAUUAUAAUCUAUGUAACUAUUUUACAUUCUCACCACUAAUCAUUGCAAUAGAUUUACCUUAAUCUUCCACCAAAUCCAACUCAAUGUGAUUCACAAGAUUUAGCAAAAACAAAAUAACUGUCACCAUAAAUGAAGUAUUAGAUUUUUAAUCUCGACAUGCUGUGAAAAAAAGGAUUCAACGUUCGUCUUGUAGUCAGAUUAUUCAUUUGGUAAAUACUGUACACUAUUCAAAGUGAAUGUGACUCUACUGGAAAUUGAAUUUUUGCUACUUAAACAAUUUAUCAGUUAGCCUCUGGUCAUUAACGUAUCAAAUCUUUAGUUGUUAUUCAAUAUUGAAUACAUAUCUUCAUGUUACAUGUAUGCAAGUUAUAAUAUGGAUAUCUUUCAACCAUAUUCACAAUACCUUGAUCUACCUUAAAUAUUGCUGUUUCUUAUUGUCAUUUGAAUAAAGCUAAACUUACUUUUUCCUAAACAUUCGCUUCUGUAAAGUCUAUUUGAGGUUAACAGGGGAAUUCAUUUUUCAUAUUACAGAUUUUCAUCUGAAUAGGUAAAAAAUGAUGAAUAACUUGUAUAUGCCAAAAGCCUUGGCGAACAAUCAUUUUCAAUUUGUUUCUCAAUAUGUAUUUUUUGUAUCUGUUAUUGUUAUUUGUUAUUCUCAUGGAUUCUUUUUUUCUCAGGUAGAAAUAGACAAAAAAAGAAGAUAAAAUAAUGAACAAGAUCUUCUUUAAACAUGUUUACAGAAGUGAAUGAUGUUGACUUUGAGAUGAGUUAAUUUUGUUUAUUCAAAUUAUUCAAUGGGAUCUUGUGACUUUCUUCAAUGGAUAUAUUGAUUCAAAGAGUUAAACAGAGCUUGAAAAUUGUAUCAUUACAAUUUAAAUAUGAUUUUAAUUUCAACCAUCAAGAGUAAAAGGAUUGUUCACAAGUGAAAUUAAUAUUUGACAAAAGGGAAACCUGAGAGUAAAAUUUUCCGAGUCAAUUUCUUUGAUCUUUUCAGUAAAUAAUUGAGAUAUUAAAUGAACAAUGAAAUUACUAUUUGAAACAUGGAUCAAUAAAAAAGAUGCUGAAAGCAAAAUGUCUUAACAGAUGAAGACUAAGGUGUUAAGAUGAUGAAGAGGGAAAAGAUGAAGUGUAAGAUCUGUAUGAAAUUGAUAACAAAUGGCCAAUUGAUGACAGAUACAAUUUGUAUGAAAGCCAAGGUAGACUCAGAAUUAGAAGCUGAUCAUUAAUCAUUGUUUAACCAAAUGGUUAUGAGAAAAGUUAUUACAAAAUUUGUUUUCUUGAACCUGUUUGCACACACAGUAAAGUAUACCUUAACGUUGUUACAAUUAACUGUGUAACUUUUCAUGAUUACUUGAAUAUCACUUAAAUGUUUGGCAACGGAAAUGGUGAAAAACUUAACUGAACAUUAACAAGGUUUUAUAGUUAAUCAAUAACCUGAAAAUGGCUAUACUCAGUGAUGUGAUAUUGUUGGAGUUCAUUUGAAAUUAUUUAUAGCCAUUUAUAGUCAUCUAAAUAAACAUCUUAAUAUGGUUAUUAUAAUUUGAAAUGGGAAAGGUUUAAAAAAUUAAUUUCAAAAUGGCUUACAAUUGUUAGAGAAAUUGAAUUUAGCGGUAAAAAUGAAACUAAUCUUUUAUCCCUUUCCUUGCGGCGCGCUUAUCAACAAAUUAAAUCCUUUGUCUUUUUAUUAACUGUUUGUGUUUUAAUUUGUUUUGCUAAUAAUCGUUUGUUUAAUGGUCUUAUAAAUGUGUGAACAAGUUAAAACUGCUUUUUGUGUUAAUAUCAUGAAAUAGUGAAGCUAGUUUUGUAACCUGAAAUUAACCUGAAACCUUUACCUGAUCGAAAACCCAAGAAAAUGCUGUUUGCUUAUUAUGGCUUAGUAAUUGAAUCUCUCUUUUAGGAUUGGUAUCAUCAAUUUAUAAUUUGAUUGGUUCAUCUAUUUUUCAUGGACUCAUAAUAUCAGCGAUUGGAAAAGUUGGUGAGUCUUAUGGAGUGUUCAGCAGGUGAUAAAAAACCUUCUAUUAUUAAUAUAUUAUAGUUUGUUUGAGAAAAAGCUAUACACCUAAUUUUCAAGCUUUCUCAAAGAUGAAAAGAUUUUGGAUAUCAAUUGAUGGUCAAGCAGAAUAGUAUCAUUACCAUCAUUAUGACCUAACUCACUGGCAUUGAGUGAAAACCAUUUUUCAUUUUGACUUGAGUCCAUCAGUCAGGCUUGAAAAAGUUAACAGUCUUAUGUGCAAGGAGAUUCAUUAAGCCAAUUUUCGUGAAACCUACAAAUUGCUCCCGAUUGCUGGAAAAUAAUUACUCGACUGAAUAAGAGUUAUUAAAUUAACAAGUUAGGCAACGUCGAUGAAUUGGUGGUUACUGAUUUCUUUUGGUAUGAAACUGCGUGAUGGUAAUUUUCAUGGCAAUUAAUAUGAUGAUUAGUAAAAGAUACUUGUCAAGGUCCUUACAUUUACAGGUUCAUUUGUCAAUGAAUAUUCUUCAUCUAAUUUUCUAGUUUCAUCUCAGUUAAUUAGAUUUCUGUAAAGGCUUUAGAAAAAUAGAGAAAAGUUUACACAACAUUUGAAGAUGAUCAGCUUUAAUAGAGACUAAUUUAACAUUAAUUGACCAACUUAUAUUUGAUGAGCUGCUAAUUGUCUUAUAAUGAAUUUCCCGAAUUACUAACUCAGCCUGGAUUUAAUGAAGCAACUUUUCUCUAUUAUCAAACAAUCAAAUAAAAUCGAAUCAAAAGAAUCAAAAAUUGCCUAUGAUUGGAAGGAUGAAAAUAAAUAAUGCUAAUAACAAUCGAUACUGACCAGGAAUUUCUUAUAAAAUCCAAAAAAGUAUCUUCUCAAAAUAAAGUGGAAGUCAAGUGAACUGAACAGGCAAUUUGCUUCAUCUCAUGGAAAAUUUUCAAAAUAUUUCAAAUUUUUCAUCACAAUUUCCAACCCAAAAGUCCAGCAAUCUUGGAUAGUUUCCUUCAAAUGACCCAGAUUCAGCAAUUAAUGUAAAGAUUUUGCUGAAAAAGUUGCAUUCAUCAACAAAUGUAAUAUAUUUUUCAUGGUUUCAAACACAACUUCAUUUCAACUAUAAAUCAUAUCCACCACAAGCUACACUAAACAAUUUAACAUUGAUAGUAACAAAUCAUUGUUAGAGAUGAGACGAGUAAUUAAUGAUCUUGAAAUAGGAAAAGGUUUCAUCUCUUAGCUUAUCGUCAUUAUUUCUUCAUUUGUACACAUUUGCUCGUGUAAAUUGAACCUCGAUAGGAUUGUUUUAACCCUCCAAUGAAAAUAUUAAUAUCUUUUCGUAAUGAUGCUUCAGGUUUAUUAGAAAUGAUUGUUUAGCUUAAUAAUAUAAUCAUUGGAAUAAUUUGUAAAUUAUUAGCAAAAAAUGUUAACCAUCAAUUGUUGAAAAAUAUUUGAUAAUAUCAUAAUUUUAAUGAGAUUCAGUUUCACCUCCAACUUAUUCAAUUGAAUCCAUUUUUCCUGCUUUUUUCAUUUUGUUUCCAUCUCUUAUUGUAAUAUAAAAUAUACUUUUUCCCUUCCUAUUAAAUUGAACCCAUCAAAAGGAAAGUGAAAAAUGUUGAAAAUGAUAAUAAAAGCAUCCAAAUCUUAUAAAUAAUUCAGCAGAAUGA